AUCAUUGGUGAAACAGGAUACCCUCUUCGUCCUUGGCUCCUCACACCUUACGAGUUGGAGAACGGCCUCUCACUCUCAGACGCCAAAGUUGAGUUCAAUAGAAGAAACUCUGCGUCUACAGCUGCUACGCUGAGGGCACUAACAAGGUUGAAAGACACGUGGAAGUGCCUUUAGGGAGAAGGGUGGCAUCCAAAUAAUCAACAUGAGAUGAACCGGACAAUCGGCGCCUGCUGCACGUUGCAUAACAUAGUGAUAGACAUGGAGGAAGGUGGAGGCAUGCUGAGCAAUCAGGAGGAGGAAUACAUGGAGCAAGUACGGUAGUUAGCAGAAGAGGACGCCGUCAGCGUGAGGGAUGCACUCUCCCAGUGCAUGAUCGAUUCUGGAGCAGAGGUGGAACGAGACGGAGUAGCAGCUGCAUCCGGUUCGGGAGUGGAAAACAAGGAACAGCAAGCACGCCAACCACAAACAGCAGAUGACGGAAAGGAGAAGGUGCAUGAGAGCUAGCUAGCUAGGGAGAUCGUCCUGUCGAGUGGAUCAAUUUUGUAUGAAUCCAACUGCCUAUAUCUCACCAAAACCCAAGUUAACAAGUAAACUGCAAGUUGGAACUUGACAA